rnacentral:rRNA from 1 species
UACGUAGGGCGCAAGCGUUGUCCGGAAUUAUUGGGCGUAAAGAGCUCGUAGGCGGCCUGUUGCGUCCGCUGUGAAAUCCCGGGGCUUAACCCCGGGCUUGCAGUGGAUACGGGCAGGCUGGAGGCAGGCAGGGGAGAACGGAAUUCCCGGUGUAGCGGUGAAAUGCGCAGAUAUCGGGAGGAACACCGGUGGCGAAGGCGGUUCUCUGGCCUGUAACUGACGCUGAGGCGCGAAAGCUAGGGGAGCAAACGGG